AGAACGAACGCUGGCGGCAGGCUUAACACAUGCAAGUCGAACGCUCGUAGCAAUACGGGAGUGGCAGACGGGUGAGUAACGCGUGGGAACAUACCCUCCGGUUCGGAAUAGCUCAGGGAAACUUGGAUUAAUACCGGAUACGGCUGUGAGGCGAAAGAUUUAUCGCCGGAGGAUUGGCCCGCGUUCGAUUAGCUUGUUGGUGAGGUAACGGCUCACCAAGGCGAUGAUCGAUAGCUGGUCUGAGAGGAUGAUCAGCCACAUUGGGACUGAGACACGGCCCAAACUCCUACGGGAGGCAGCAGUGGGGAAUAUUGGACAAUGGGCGCAAGCCUGAUCCAGCCAUGCCGCGUGAGUGAUGACGGCCUUAGGGUUGUAAAGCUCUUUCGCUCGGGACGAUAAUGACGGUACCGAGAUAAGAAGCCCCGGCUAACUUCGUGCCAGCAGCCGC
rnacentral:rRNA from 1 species